CUCUUUCCUUGGAUUGCCCGUUGAACACUUGGAAUACUAAUUGGAUACUCGGAAAAGCCUUUGCACAUAAGUGCCUCAAUUGUAGCUAAAACUACCUCAUAUCUCAUGACAUUUCAAUGCUCACUCUCAUGCUAGUCAUCUAGACUCAUAAUUCCUAGUGACAUGUCACUCGUAUCCUAUUCUAUUCCUAAGGUUCAAACGGGAUUUUUCAUCGUCUAUUAAGGCUUUGUCUUAUCAUAUUUCUAUUAAUCACAUACACAUUAAUAUCUGUACAAUUCAUGUAAUGAUAACAUUUAAAUACAUGUAUAGCAUGGUAUUGUUUACAUACGAACUUACCUUGAUACCACAAAGGUGAAAAGGACAUACUCGUCCAUAAAUCGAUUUCUUUCCGUUCUAGGUCCAAGUCUCAAUUUUCAUCAUUUAUAACAUCACAUUUAGCCUACCAAUCAGUCACAAUAUUCAUAUGGGUCUAAAAAUCAUAUUUUUACAAAUUUUCAUUUUGACCCCUAAACUUUUGCAUAUUUGCACUUUUGCCCCAAUGCUCGUAAAUUAAUUUUUAUCACAUUUCUUUACUCCUUGAGUCUAGAUGAACCAUUUUCAUAGCUAUAGCAACUCAUAAUUUCAACUAUUUUACACAUUUACAACUCAUUUUACAACUUAGCAAUUCAGACCCUUUUAAAGUAUUUUCAUGCAAUUUCUUUCACAAAAGUUGUUUAUUAGACAACUAGGACUCAUAAUCUUCCAUAAAAACACAGCAAACAACACAUUUACUCUCAUGGUAAAACCCUAGACUCUUCAUCAUUUUGCGAAAUAAUCCCCUCUUAUGAAAGCUUAUGCUUUAAGGGUUCCAAAAAUACAAAAAUCAUCAAGCAAAGACAUUAAAAUCACUUACAAGCAAGGGAAAUAUGUUGCUGAAAUUUUCCAGCUUCAAAACCCUUUCUUUGCUGCAUAUUUCGGUGAAGGGGAAGAGAAAAAUGAUAGCUUUUUCUUCUUCUUUUUUUUAUUUGUUAAUAAUAAAACUAUUUUGUCUAAUUUUGACUUUUCAACUAUUUUAUCUCCCAUGGCCGGCCAUCACACUUUCAAUGGCCUAACUUCACUUUAAAGACCCCCAAUUUAAGAUACAAGGCAAUUUAACACCUUUAGGUAUUAAAACACAACUUUUACUUUUUACGCGAUUUAGUCCUUUUUCGAAAUUGGACUAGAAAUCGCUAAAAUUAAUAUACCAAAAUUAACAUGCACUUAUAAAAUCAUAUUAUAACACAUAAAAUAAUACUAAAAUAAUUUUCUCUGGCCUCGAAAUAGUGGUCCCGAAAUCACUGUUCCGACUAGGCCCAAAAUCGGGCUGUUACAUUUCUUCCCCCCUUUAGGGAUUUUCGUCCCCGAAAAUCUUACCAGAAAAAGUUGUUCUCUACUUUCACGAGUCACUUUUAUCUUUUUCUCACAACUUACAAAACAACUCCGCACAAGCUCAUACUCAAGAUUUCCCUUAGCUUUUUCAUAGUUGAGGUAUAAACCUUGGAGCUCAAUUUGAAACACUGGAGACUGACAUUCUUGGAACUAUAAACUCAGAAACAUACAACUCAGUCACAUCUGUUGAAUAAUAUAUCUGUACAUACUAAAAUAAUCAUGCAGACUUCCAUCAUCAAUCUUUCACAAUUCAACUUGCAUCUCUCUUUUUUCCUGGAAAUGAGAGACAUCCCGAUACGAAAUUCAUAACAGUCCUUUCUCAUUUUCUUCCCACUGUCAUCACUGACAAUAAUAAUCUCGAAUACAUUUGAUAUUCGGCUUUACCCUAUAGAAAAUUUGACAUCCUUUGAACGAAUAGACAAGAUACUGCUGUGAACUCUGUACUCAAUUCUCUGUAUACCCAGAGUUUCUCAGUACUGAAAUCUUACUCUAAAUUAAUAGUAAUAGAAACCAGAAAUCAAAUCCUCCCUGCAAUUCCAAAUUAAAAGUCGAAUCAUGCUGUACUUGUUUAAUUUACCACUUAUAGCCACAUUUCUAUACUCUGAUCAUCAACUGUUUAGAAACUUUACUAACAUGAAUCAAAUGAUUCCAACUUCAUAGAUGUGGUCUUUUUAUUAAUCAGGAUAACUAUACUUAUAACAUCUCUCGAACAAGAGAAAUCCAACUAAUAUGUUUCCAUAACAUACUUUCAAGAAUAAAACCCCAUCAUUUCUGACUGUACGACUACUUACCAAAGAACACGUAACUGUGUUCUCGAACCAGAGAAUAAACUUAAAUGCACAUAACUCAGAUUUACUUUUGCAGAAUAACCAUUCUUUACCCCAGGAAUUUUAAAGAAAUCUCGACACUGAAAUCCCCACACUUCUAUGGUCGAGCCAGAAGCUUAAUCAUAACAAAUUCUAAUAUGGCAAGUCAAAGAUUACUCGUAAAGAUAAGCCAAGCUUGAUAAUUCUCGAAACAAGAACGAGAGAAAAGCCAAUAUAAGAAAUUCCAAGAUAUAAAGACUCUACCAGAAAUCCGAGAAUAUAAUCCAGAAGAAAAUAAUAAAUAUGAUCCGGAAAAUCCCUCAGAGAAAACCAGAAGGAAACUACUGUCUAUACGCUCUAGAAUUUCUCGUAACAGAGAUAAUAUAAUUCUCCAAUAUGUAUAAACCAUAAUCAAUAGAACAUCAGAAUAAUCUCAUAUAGAUUUUUACUAUCAACUUCAUUCCAGUAUAUCAGAAUAGAAAUCUGAAGAGAUGGGGAAAUGUCGAUCAUAACUAACUGGACUAAUAGAACUUUUCAUCUAAUAUCACAGUCACUAGCAUCCUCAUACGGUAGAAUUUCCAUUCGAAAGGGAUAACCAUACGUAUUCCCCAGAAUAGAGGAAAACAUAGAAUACUCAGAAGAGAAAGGUAGCCAUCACUUUAUUUAAUUGAAUCCGUCAUAUUCAGACAUCUGUGCAAGUCUGACAUUAUUCCUCUAACUAAUUCUGUCUUCGCUAAUCUCAUACUAUUCCAUUAUUGUACUCUUCACUUUCACUUUUGCAAGCUUAUGCAACAUAUCUCUCGAAAAUCUCAUCGUAUAACUCUAUUCUGGUAAGGGGGCGAAGAUUGUAAAGCCUCUAAACUUUUGACUCUCAAGCAAAUACAUAUUCAACAACAACAUAGCAUUACACACAUCGAUUCAAACAUUUCAAAUUUCCAACUUGUUAUGAACACAUUUUCACAUAUCUUAGUAAUACAUGCAACUUUAUUUCGUGCAAAUAUUAGCUAAACAUAAGUGAAUUUAUCAUAACUCAAACUUUCAUUUAUUUUUCUCAAAUUACCCUUAAUGUUUUAUCAAAUUCCCAUAUUUAGUCUUAAUCACUUGCCAAUAUUUAUCAAAUUGGAGAACGUCUUAUGGUUUUGAGUACAUUGCUUACUUGAUGCCAUAGUUCAACUAUGGUCUUGUACUAGCUCUCAUCCAUCUGUGUCGAUGCCGUGUCCCAGACAGGUCUUACACUGACACAUGUAACCGUGCUGACGCAUGUCCCAGACAUGUCUUACACUAGCACAUCUCGUAGCCGACACAUGUCCCGGACAUGUCUGACAUUGGCUAACAUCUCGAGGCCGAUGCAUGUCCCAGACAUGUCUUACACUGGCUCUCAUACUGUGGCUGAUGCAUGUCCCAGACAUGUCUUACACUAGCCCUCGUCUCAAUGCCGAUGCCAUGUCCCAUACAUGGUCUUACACUGGCACACAAAUCUCUUGUAUUGCCACGGUCCAACCAUGGUCUUUUCCGUCAAUUCAUUAGUGAACGAUCGUACUCAUUCCCUGCAUUCCACCCAAUUUGAUCUUUCAUUACAACUUUCAUGCUAUUAUGACAUUUAUGAUUCUGUAACUGAGAUUAUAAAGCAUAACAUUACUGCAUCUUGACUUCAUCAAUCUAGACAUAAAUGUCAACCUCAUGUAUAUAUUGAUUAUUAAUCAUGCAAUAAAAGCAUUCAUACAUACAUUCUGUCAUUUCAAGCAAAUUUCUUUCUUUUCCUAAACACUUGGCCAAAUCAAGUUGGACAUUUAACAUCGUAUGAAUACUAACAUGCAUAAAAGCGUUUUUUCACAACUUAACUGUGUUUUACUCCACUAUUUCACAUUCUUUAACUCAAGAGUAUCACAUAGUGAAUACUAGUUCAUAUGAAAAUCAUUAAUGUCUUUUCAUACCUUUCCCAUUUUCAGCAUGUCACAAGCAUGAUUCAAUAAUCUCAACUUUACUCUUAUCUUUAUCAAGAUUUGCUCGGUUCGAAUUCAUUCCUGUCUUAAACAACAGUUUUGUUAGGGCCGAGAGAUAUCACACUAUCACGAGUAAUACUAUGGCAUGUAUAGCUAGACUCUCUUACGCUAGGUUAGUCUGAGAACCGACUAAACCAUGCUCUGAUACCACUAAAUGUAACACCCCUCGCCCGCAUCCGACGCCGAGACAGGGUUCGAGGUGCUACUUGACUUUUACUAACACUUCCAUACUAAAUAGGGCCAUGAAAUCUCAAAUAAUUAAAAACUUUUAUUUUCAUAUACAAUCUGUCCCAUAUACGGGCUUACGAGGCCCAAAACAUACGUCCGGAGUGGUUUGGGACCCAACCGAGAACUCAUGAAAAACUUAGAAAAUCUCUUGCAUCAAGGCUUCAUACGCCCGUGUGGGUAUAGAGCACACGCCCGUGUGGGUAUAGAGCACACGCCCGUGUGCUAGGGACACGCCCGUGUCCCAAACCCGUGUACAAAAACCUAGACAAAUACAAGGCUAUUUUCCAAGCCAUUUUGUCACACUCACAAUAGAUACACACAUACUUAUACAACAACAUACAACAUGGCAAAAUUAGGUACUUAAACAUUCCUAACAUGUCAUGAUUAUGGCAAUUUCACAUGCAAUAGAUAUAAUAGAUUUUACUCACAUCUUUACCAUAUUCAUACUAUAAUCAUUAUAAACUCAUCACAUAAUACCAUAUCACAUGCAUGCAUAAUUAAAAUAGAUUUACAACCCCAUAAUCAAAAUAGGCCAACACAUAUGGUUAAAGCCAUAUCACAUACUCUAAUAUUUACAACAUAUUCUCAAGUUUACUACAAGCUAUCUUUUUGAGCAACGGUCACUAAAUUAUUUAUAUAUAGAGUUAAGAAACUCCAAAUUAAGUUCCGUUAAUUUUACCUGAAACUAGACUCAUUUAUCUUUCUUUCAUAAAAUUUCCAGAAUUUUUGACUCAGCCAAUUAGUACAGUUUAUUCCUCAAGUUUGCUCCUGAUUCACUGUCUGACAGUUUCAACCCUUCUACACUAAAGUUCAAUUAUCUCAUAGUACAGGAUUCGAAUAAUGUUCUCGUCUAUUUCUCUUGAAACUAGACUCAUAUUUCUACUUACUAGUUUUUUUAUAGAAUUUUUUGUGAAGCCAUUUAGUACAUUUUAUUAGUUAAAGUUUCCCCUGUUUCAGGGUAUGACUACUCUGACCCCUGUGCACUACGAAUCGAAUUUCUCCAUGUACAGAAUUCUAAUGACCAUGCUGUUUGUUUCCCUUAAAAAUAGACUCAAUAAGGAAUGUAUACAGGUAAGGUAUGACUAUUAAUAAUUUUUUUACAAUUUAUGGUGAAUUUAUAAAAUCAGAACAGGGGAUCUCAAAUUCAUUCAGACCCUAUUUCACAAGAAUUUAAAUAUCACACAAUAUAGAAUUCUUUUUCUUCCUCUAUUUCUUUCAUGUGAAAAUAGACUCAUUAAGCUUUAAUCCCAUAUUUUAUUCUGCCUCUAACUCAUUUUCCACUAUUUUUAGUGUAUUUUCAAAGUUACACUACUGCAGUAACUCAAAUCUGUCAAGGCUAAGUUACUCAUUCAUGGUCAUUGUUCAUAAUAUUAAUACAACACCAUUUUAUCCAUCAUGGUAAGAACACAUAUUAUGCAUCAUAGAUCAUCACAUAUCAAGGCAUUCUCAUAGGAUUAGUAUACAUACUUGCACAACUCGUAACAUAACUCGAGUGCAUACUCACCAAUGACUUACCUCAUUGGGACCAUCAUCAACUCUUUCCUUGGAUUGCCCGUUGAACACUUGGAAUACUAAUUGGAUACUCGGAAAAGCCUUUGCACAUAAGUGCCUCAAUUGUAGCUAAAACUACCUCAUAUCUCAUGACAUUUCAAUGCUCACUCUCAUGCUAGUCAUCUAGACUCAUAAUUCCUAGUGACAUGUCACUCGUAUCCUAUUCUAUUCCUAAGGUUCAAACGGGAUUUUUCAUCGUCUAUUAAGGCUUUGUCUUAUCAUAUUUCUAUUAAUCACAUACACAUUAAUAUCUGUACAAUUCAUGUAAUGAUAACAUUUAAAUACAUGUAUAGCAUGGUAUUGUUUACAUACGAACUUAC
rnacentral:lncRNA from 1 species